AAGGCUGGCUAUCACCAGCCAGGUCACAGAACAGAACUGGUUGCUGCACUUUGCUGUGCUUUUGUACACUUCAGAGCAGUGGAGAAGGGAUGAAUUUGAACUGAAGGUCUUGAAAGAAGUCUGCUGCAGACAGGCAGGCUACACCUUCAAACCAGCCAGUGUGAGACACACACCACUGAGCUGUGAGGCAGAAAGCUGCACUGUGCUUUGUCCUGUAUACAUCAAUGCAGAAUUAUUUCUAAAUAUCAAACCUGAUCUAAUGAAUUACUCAGCCCAGUUUUGCAACUGUAGCUGGAUUGUUCUGGACUUUUAGAACCUGUAAAAUUGCCUUGCCUACUCAGACAGAUGUCACGAUUGUUAAAAACAGGUCUUGGAUUUAAAAGCAA